rnacentral:rRNA from 1 species
AACGAACGCUGGCGGCAUGCCUAACACAUGCAAGUCGAACGAGACCUUCGGGUCUAGUGGCUUACGGGUGCGUAACGCGUGGGAACCUGCCCUUAGGUUCGGAAUAACUCCCCGAAAGGGGUGCUAAUACCGGAUAAUGUCUUCGGACCAAAGAUUUAUCGCCUUUGGAUGGGCCCGCGUUGGAUUAGCUAGUUGGUAGGGUAAAAGCCUACCAAGGCGACGAUCCAUAGCUGGUCUGAGAGGAUGAUCAGCCACACUGGGACUGAGACACGGCCCAGACUCCUACGGGAGGCAGCAGUGGGGAAUAUUGGACAAUGGGCGAAAGCCUGAUCCAGCAAUGCCGCGUGAGUGAUGAAGGCCUUAGGGUUGUAAAGCUCUUUUACCCGGGAUGAUAAUGACAGUACCGGGAGAAUAAGCGCCGGCUAACUCCGUG